UAUUUCCUAAUAUCCUAAUUUAUCAAUUAUGAUUGUUAUUUUCUUUCUCACGCUCCAUAUUCUUUUUUCCACAAAUAUUUCACUUUCUCUCUUAUAUCUCCUCUUUCUUUCUUCUCUAUUCAUCUCAUCCAGUUUUUUUAUCCAAUAAACAAUUUAGCGCUAAAUUGGUACUAAAUACUAUCUGUAUCCGCUACCAGCUUGAUUUUACUUGCAAAGUUUGCAUCGUAAUUUGUCGGUAAAAAGUGAGCAAGGUCUGUGCAACUCAGUUAAUUGACGCCAAAUUGCUUUUUGACAGCAAUUUGAUGUCAUCCUCAGUGAUUACAGUUAUCAAAGAGUAUAUUAAUACGAUAAAAUAUUACAAAUAAUAUCUACAGAUUGCGACAAACAUUAUAUAUAAAGUUUCAAGUACAAAAGAUGCAAAGAUAAUAGAAUAAACAUAUUGGAAAAGUGUUUCGAAAAUUCACAAUGUGUCAAUACAUAUAGUACACACACACAUACAUAUAUAUGUAUAAUACACGCAUAAGAAGCAGCGGAAAGGACAGGCCGAAGGACGGAAAAUUCCGCGUAAGUCGGUAGUACGGGCCGAAGAGGUGAGGAUGUGGGGUGGAGAACAGAGCGAGCCAGUCAGGCAACGCCGAGAAGAGUGCCCGUGGUAUUGCGAGCGCAAAAACUCGGUAGCAAGAACUGAGGAAACUCGCGUCGAGAGGAGGAUUAUUGUCAGGCCCCAGUUGACAAGGAGUUAUCGGAGAAAGAUUCUCCGCGAGGACGAGGCCCGUGGUGGCGGGACAGACCGAUCCGGUGAAAAAUUCGCCGCGCCGCGAGGGAGCCGCGGAACCCCCCGCGAAGCUUGCACGAUCCGCUCCUGCCGGCCGCAGGAUCGCGAGCCCGGCGGUGGGCCCGGCCGCCCGGCGACGAAGCACCGACGCGCGACGUGAUGCGCAGUAUCAUUGCGCAUCCCUUGCGAAGUGGUUGUGUGUCGCGCUAUAUUGAUCGCGUAUCGAGCGCGAUUUCGCGCUUGUGUUCUCAUAUUCUGGAAAGAAGGUGAGCCGGUCGGUGCUACGUGUGAGUGUGUCGUGUGUAAGCUAAACCGAGCCCACUGUUCAGGCAGUUCAAGGAAUCCAUUUUGAGGCUGGUCUGAUGAUCGUACCACCUCUUCGCCGAUUUCGUGAACUGCGCGGACGCCGAGCAGAGUCACGCUAUUGGACGCACCGUGCACUUGCGCCGCUCUCUCCACUCUUCUCACCCAUAAUGGUACGUUGUCUUCUCCUUAAAUUAAUGAUAUAUAUAUAUAUAUAUGUGUGUAUCUAUGUAUAUAUAUAAUAAUAUAUAUGUUGUAUACAAUAAGUAUAAUAUAUGUAAUUAAUUAAUUAUAUAUAUACUUUUUACUAUUACAAAAUUUAUUGCAACAUUCCAAUGUUACAACAAAUUUUGUAACAGUAAAAAAUUCAGUCAGUCUUUAUUCUUUAAAAUUUAGAGAGUCACUGUCGUCAGUCGUGCUUGCACACGACUCAUUUGUUUGACGUAAAAUGUUUAUAAUAUGUUCCGUAUUAGGAAUUAUUGUGUUCCAUUUGGUUACAAAAUUAUAUAAACAUUUUUGAAGUAUUAAUCACAAAUGUUCACUUGCCGUUGGGUACUGCAAUUGAAGUACAUGGAAGGUUUGAAAACAAACGUCGAUGCCUUCUAGGGUGGAAGCAUCUUCUAGAAACGCAAUCCUGCUCCUUGUAGAGUUGAGCAAUCACACGACGCUCACAGUAUAAAGGUCAACCUAAAAAUAAAAAAACAAUUAAUUACCACAUUAUAUUAAGUAUAUCUUGUGAUACAAGAGCACAUGUUAAAGUUGAAAUUUCAGAAGAUGUCGAAGUAGAAGGCAAAGAAAGCUGAGGAGAGGCCUCUGUUUCUUCGCAUACAUCUUUAUUGCGAAAAUAAUUUUACAAUGCAAUUCUUGCACCUAUCGAUGGUAUAACAUCGAUUAGUUCAGGACUUCGAUUAAUAGUCAUAUAUUUUAAAGAGUUAUAAUCGACAUCAUUAUCUAAAAA